rnacentral:misc_RNA from 1 species
ACCUGAACUUCCGCAAAGGUGCUGGUAUACGCCUGAAAGUAGGCCAGAUAGCGUUUAGCACGGUUAACUAAAUUCGCCUGGUGCGCCAGUUGCUCGGCAAUGGAACGAUGCUGCUGCGCUUCAUCGGCAAACGAGGCCACAUUACAGAAUGUGCAGCCACCACGCCCGAUGGUACCGUCACGGUUAGGGCAGCUAAAACCGCCGUGCAGCGUCAGCUUAUGCACCUUUUGCCCAUAACGACGGGUGAGAUCACCACCAAACAUAUUGACUAAUUUCUGUAACUGCAUAAUCUGAUAGACCGCGCCUUGAAAAGAGGCCAAAGCCUGCCAUUUUUAGCUCAAUUCGGCGAUGACCUGGAUCAAUCGUCCCGGCCUGCUUUUAUCAACU